rnacentral:lncRNA from 1 species
GGGGCUCCUUGCAGUGGGCUUUGCACUGCCUCCCCUCCUGGGGAGGCUUUGCAGGGCGCUGUGGGGACGUCUUCGGAGAGUGCCAUCCUGUAGAAACUCCACCUGGAGAGAGCGGCUUCAAACACUGCUCUGCAGUGCACCAACUGGGAUCUAGUUCCUUCCAAUACCAAGUUAGAUUCUGAACUGGCACUCUCCCUUCUAAAUGACAUCUCUCCGAGCGGCAGCGGCAGCCAGCGGCAGCGAAGAUCCCUUCAAUCCCCGCCAUCACAGGCCUCCUAUUGCAGCACGGAAUCCACAGGCUCUGCAGAAACGUCCCUGAGGGGAG